rnacentral:lncRNA from 1 species
UUUACCAAUAAUUAUAUUUAUUCUUAUUUCAAUAUGGACUACCAGAGUAAGACAGUCCUUAAAAUGGAAGAUAAUCGUUUUAUUUUAUUAUGCCACACCUUUUUUUCCCACCUUUAAAUUUUUCUAAAAUUAAGGAAUAUUAUAACACUUUCCAAAUUAUAUGAGAUUAUACUAUAAGGAGAGGUAUGGUAUAUUAAAUAUGCUUGCAUAUUUUACUCUUCUUUCAAGAUGUGGAUUCCCUUGAAUUUGACCAGUUUUUAAUGAUAUAGUUGAUCAAUAGACUAUUGUUGAAGUGAUAUUCCAGAAUUUCUAAGGCUUAGUCAGUGUGUUCCUAGAAUGUUUGUUCUUAGGAGAAAACAGCCUCUCUUUAACAAGUCCUACUAUGCUGAGGCUACCUUGCUGUGAAGAUGACCAAAGCUAGCUAUGUUGACAGGCCACAUGGAGAGAGAUGCACACACAGUCCCAGUUGUUCCAGUAACCCAACCUAGAAAUGGAGUCUCCUUAUGUUGUCCUGACUUGUCUUAAACUCUUGGCUUCAAGUGAUCCUUCCACCUUGGCCUCCCCAAAACUGGAAUUACAGAUCUGCAGCUUGCAUUCCCUCCCAGGUGGUGUUUUAUGAGAGUAUGCCCUCAUAAACUUCCUGUAUGCAAAUCUGCACGUGAGAGUCUUUCUUAGAGCACCAGACCUAAGACAAUUAGUCCCAAGAGAGGAUCAAGAAAACAGAUCCUAAAUUGGAAUGCUGAAUCAUCAGUAAAUGGAACCCACUUGAGGAACUUGUGCUGCUCUUCCCCACAACUUCAGGCAUGUCUGAGAUCUGAGCUCCCAGAGAAACAAUGCUUUUGCCAGGGAACAUAACAAUAGUUCUGUCAGACUUGUUUAUGCCUGCCACCUUGUCACUUCAGAUUCCCUGGGCUAGGAGAACAGCAGCAGGCAAGGAAAUGUGUCCUGGCCAUCAGGAGGAGUGAAAAAUGAAUAUUUGUUACAUAGAAGACUGUCUACAAGUUCUAUGGUAUUUCAGACUGGAUAUUUCUGAUGAGAAUUUUGACUCAUCACUAAAAUGUUA